rnacentral:lncRNA from 1 species
CUAGAAUAAAGUAGGCAGGAGAAGAUGGAAAAAGUAGACUUCAGUCUUCUGGCUUUCAUCUUUCUCUAGUGCUGGAUGCUUCCUGCCCUUGGACAAUCAGACUCCAAGUUCUUUAGCUUUUGGACUCUUGGACUUAGACACCAGUGGUUUGCCAGGGGCUCUUGGGCCUUUGGCCACAGACCGAAGCUUGCACUGUUGACUUCCCUACUUUUGAGGUUUUGGGAUUCAGACUGGCUUCCCUGCUCCUCAACUUGCAGAUGGCCUAUUGUUAGACUUCACCUGUGGUCAUGUGAAGCUCUUUUAAAAUUUCUGACAUCCAAGGCAAUCCUAGUUGUGGAAGUUCUUUCCCCUCGGCUGUCGGCGGAGUCUUUGGGUGUGGUGGAUGGAAGAGGAGCCGUCUGCUGAGAGAAGAGGAGGAACUCCGCUGUCUGAGUCAGCACAGGUCCACCGAAGACCAGGAGCUCAGCCCUCCGCGCGGUGCUCUGAAUCCAGGGAACACGCUCGCCGGGAACUGCGGAAUCCCUCCCGUUGGCCUGCGAUAAAACCGUGUUGACUUACGGAACAUCAUCUUUGGUUUACACUGAACUUUCUUAAAACUUUCCUCUUCUAUAUAAUUUUACUCUAUACCAUAGAGAUAAUUUUGAUAAAAUAAAUCUCAGGCGGUACACAUCGUAUUUUUUUUCCUAUUCUUUGUAUUAAAUUGGUGCAGAACUAAUUGCGGUUUUUGCCAUUAAGAGUAAUGGCAUUUACUCUUUGCUGUGACUCUUAAUGGCAAAAACUGCAAUUUACUUUUAAUGGCAAAAAUCACAAUUACGUUUCACCAACCUAAUAAUUUUCAAAGUCUCAGGUCUUAAGGCACCAACUUCCAAUCUCAUUCCAGAUGGAAACCUCUUGACUUCCCCAUAUCUUCCCAGUCCUGAGCCUUUGACCAAAUAAGGCAAUGUGCUUCUUGCCUUUGUCAUUCCUGAACAAAUGCCAAUGCCACCGUCCUCUCUCGCAUUCAGUAUUCAGAGGGCAAAUUCACGAAGCAGGAUCCUACCGGCCGCCGUGUCAGCCUGCAGUUCCCAUACUGGGUCCUGCAGUCUCUUCAUUGUCCUGUGGGAUAUUAAAAGGACUUCUGUGAAAAAGAUAAUUAUUAAAUGAUAUUGUCAUUCUAAAAGGCACUUUAAAAAAUGUGUGUGAGAACUGUCAACAUACACAUAUGGUGGUUUUAUUGGUUUUCAGUAAAUUUCUUUAAAGCAGUGGUAUGCAGUACAAUGUCCCCUAG